GUCACUAAACAUCCUUUGGGGGGAUCAAUGCCUUCUCUCUCUAUAGCAGAGUAACACGUGCAUGUCCCCUUCAAAUCUUAAGGCACGGAGACUCUUUGCUGAAUAUUCACUCCUCAUUGAAAUGAAGCAGCUGCUGUUUACUAUUUGUUGUUGUUGUUGUUAUUUUUCCCGAUUGCUCCAAUUCUAAAACCCACCAUUCUCCACCUCCCCUAGCUGUUACAAAUCCCUCUGCUCAUAGCUCCAUCUCUUUGAAAUAGAAAAGGUCUCAGGAACCAUCUGGUUCCGUGCGUCCUUAACGCUGAGGCCCCUCGCCUGCAGCUGGAGGCAGCUCUCUGCUCAGGCUGCAGUGCAGAGUGACACAGGCGAGCGACAUCGUCACUGAGCACUAACUUCUGUGACAGGAGGCAGACAGUGAAAAUCAUUUCAGAACCGCGGCACGGCGUGAGACAGGCGAAGGGGUAGCUGCAAAGUUUUGGACAAGACCUCUGCAGGCAACUGGAAGCACAGUGUACCCAGGUGGAGCUCAACCUCAUCAGCAUCUUUCCUUCAGGCAAACUGACAAUACAGGAUCUAGUCAAUGACUCAAGUGGAUUCAACUAUCGAAGAGAUGUGCCAACUCUAUCUGUCACCAAAUAAUUGUCAGAAGCUGGAGAACCAGGCUCCACCAACGAGUGGGAAUCAAGCAAGACCAAGCAGAUGAGACACAGCUAUGGUCACAGCAUGGCACAAGCCUGGUUUAGGACAUGACGGUACUUCCUGGGCCACCAGCCCCUCUCCACCAAGAACACUGUCUGCUUCCUCACCUUGCCUUUCUGGAAAGACUUUGAGUCACAAUCAUGUAUGCAAGCUGCUUCUUUCUAUUUCUUUGGGGAAAAUUCUUUGAUUUUAUUUUCUAACCAGUUCACAGGCAGAUUUUCAAUACCUUAUUUUUAGGCUCUCAGAACAUUUCCUGCUCCUGGCACGCUGUUCCUCCUUUAUGAGCAUAAAAUUGUCUCGAAUUUUGCUGAAGAUUCUUGCUAGCCUACCAUUUACUCUGAGUCUGUCUUUGCUUGAGGGCAAAGUGCCUGUUUAUCUUUGUUGUUUUAUGUUGUAGACUUUCCUUUAGGGGCCAGGUGAUCCUUGAGUGUUCCUUUAUAUUUGAAAACAGGUAAGAGAAAGUCUCACCUUAGAGCGCCCUGGUGUGCAGGUGCGGCUCUGCAGUUGAGAGGGGUUACUUUUGAGGGGGUGGACUGAGAUCUGUAGUUAUCUUGGAACUUCUGUAUUUCUUGGUUCACCUCAGACAUAUUAUGCCAAUUCUGUACAAAAGCCUGAACUUUCCCUGCUUGGGAUCAGCAUCAGUUUGCUGCUUUCAGCCUUGUUUCUCACCUGUACUGCUCUGAGUAAGUACUGGCUUUCCUUAAGCUGGAUGCCCCUUUGGCAUCCUGCAGGUCUGUCUGCACCUUCUUGCUAGCUAACAGCCCCAGCACAGGAAUUCCAGCUGUCUCUCACUCUGGCUUAUGGGUAAACACCUCAGCAAACUCUCCCUUUUAAAAAAUUUAUUGAAGUUUCUUAUGUACUUUCUCUUAUGUGCCAUCAUUAUUUCAGUUUGUUACUCUGAUUUUUAUUAUUUUUGUAAAGAGGGUUAAUAGCUAGGCUUGUACAAAUGGUUUCCUAAGAAGAAUAUUUAAAUACUUAAAAACAUGCAUAAUUUUAAAGUCUUAAAAACUCCUGUGCAGGCUGGGGAUGUGGCUCAAGCAUUAGUGCACUCGCCUGGCAUGCCGGGGCGCUGGGUUUGAUCCUCAGCACCACAUACAAAUAAAAUAAAGAUGUUGUGUCCACCGAAAAUUAAAAAAAUAAAUAUUAAAAAAUUCUCUCUUUCUCUCUCUCUAAAAAAAAAAAAACUCAUAUGCACAAAUUACAUUGAUUUAAUCCAUCUAUUU